UACGUAGGGGGCGAGCGUUAUCCGGAAUUAUUGGGCGUAAAGAGUACGUAGGUGGUCCGUUAAGCGAGUGGUGAAAGCCCGAGGCUCAACCUCGGCGAGCCAUUCGAACUGGCGGACUUGAGUGCAGGAGGGGAAAGUGGAAUUCCUGGUGUAGCGGUGAAAUGCGUAGAUAUCAGGAGGAACACCGGUGGCGAAGGCGACUUUCUGGACUGUAACUGACACUGAGGUACGAAAGCGUGGGGAGC
rnacentral:rRNA from 1 species